AGGUAUGCAGCAGAGAUUGUUGGAGGUGGAGAUUGAUGAACUGCAAUGCAUGGAUGCUGAUGUGAGCUGGGCGGGCGGGCAUCGUGACGUCACUCCACCCUUCUGUCAUCACCCGAAGCCUUCAAGUAGGGCAUGACAGAUGGUGAUGAGAUGACGUCAUGCAAGUUGACGGUAGUGAACCGGGCAGUGAUG